CAUGGUCUUAGCUUGCUAAGGCUGAUGGCGACCGGCGCACGGGUGAGUAACACGUAUCCAACCUGCCGUCUACUCUUGGCCAGCCUUCUGAAAGGAAGAUUAAUACCCAAUGAUAUCUCUAGAAGACAUCUGAAAGAGAUUAAAGGUAUUCCGGUAGACGAUGGGGAUGCGUUCCAUUAGAUAGUAGGCGGGGUAACGGCCCACCUAGUCUUCGAUGGAUAGGGGUUCUGAGAGGAAGGUCCCCACAUUGGAACUGAGACACGGUCCAAACUCC
rnacentral:rRNA from 1 species